GUUGCUGAGUUAAACUUCAAUUGACGUUAGAAAAUAUAAUAAGAUGCUCACUAAUUUGUUAAUAUCAAUUUUUUUAAUUGCUAAUCCUGUACUGUGUGCAAACCCUACUGAUAACGAGCGUCUAGAUGGCGUUUAUGCAUACUUGAAAAAUUGGUUGGGAAUACCACCGAAUCAACCAAAUAUUAAUAUUACAAUGAAUCAAUUUUAUACGUUUGUGGGUCAUUCUGAUACGCAUAGAAUGUUAGUAAAUGGGUUCUUUACACUUUAUCCAAGCGAAAAGACAAACCAAGACAAUAUUAAUGUGCAUUUAUUUAAGAUGCUUAUAAGACAAGUUUGCAUUGGAACUGGGAGGGAUCCAGUACGCUUCACUAAUGAACAAAUGGCAGCACUCUAUAACAUAAGCCGGGAAGCUCAAAACAAAUAUAUAAGAGACUAUCAAUAUCUAGAAUAGAACUUACUUUGAUAUCUAAAUUAUAUAUUAUAGUAUUAAGCAACUUAUUUGGGUUCAUUAUUUUCAUCCAUUUGUAUAUAAACAUUUACAUUUUUUUUCGCUUAUGUUAUAAAUAAUAUGAAUUAUUCUCCUUUUUAAAAAAUUGCUAAAUGUUUUAACAUAAUAAAUAAAUUGUGUUCGAAAUUAAAAAUAUUAAUUUAUUUGUUUAAAUUUGAGUAUAACGCUCAAUAAGGGAAAUGAGUGCAGUUGUAAGUUACACCAACAGUUACACGACAUUGAAUCGUCUACGGUAUUGGGCAAGAAACAGUUGUUAUAUAUUAUGUCCAACAGUUUAUUUUAAUGAAUUGAAACCCAAUAUUCUACAAGCUUUUAUCGUGUAUUAAUAACAUACGACGAGUAAAUUAUCCACGUAGGUUUACAAAAUUGUAUAUUUGACAGCAUUUUUAAAAUAUUAAAAUUAGUUUGCUUUAUGGAUUAAGUAAAUAAAACUAUGGUCACGAUUUUUUUUUUAACUUUUUAAACUUUCAACGUGAUUGUUUUAGUUAAAUUUCUUAAGGAAGUAGAACCAAAAAAAACAUGCUUUCCUUCAAUCACACUUUACAUAAUUACAUUAAAAUACAAUAAAACAAAGGAAGUAAAGUAUCGGUUUUUUUAUCCGCGACCGCGACCGCAACCGCUAUACAUAUACUUACACCUACUAUUAUUUCCGCAGAAAUUACUGGUUUAAACAUUGAAAUUGUAACUAGAUUUAGUGUAAUAUUAGUGACAAUUUCUAUUGUAAAUUGUAAACUGUAUUAAUAAAAUAUUGUAAAUUGUUGUGUUUAA